rnacentral:lncRNA from 1 species
AACCUACCAUAUAGCUCUGCAACCUCAACGUGCUUCAAUUUUUCCCACCUGUGCAACAAAGAUAAGCUUGCUGAACCUUCUCCGCUUAAGUAUAUGAGGCUUAAGUAAUAAAUGUUUGCUCUGCAUGUUGAAUUUUUCAGAUUAAAGGAAAUGACAAAUGACGCUCAGUAUUAUGCGGAAGCUUACCAUUCAGGGAAAUAGAUUUUGCAGAGACACAUUUCACGAGCACUUGGAAUGCUCAGGGAAAGCGGGAAAGGAAUAAAAGCCUCUGCUUUAAGAGUAUGGAGCAGCUUGGAAUAUGAAUAGCCCACAAGUAAGCCCAGUGUCUGCAGUACUGAAGGGCACUGACUCGUCCACACCUGGGACAGCCUGGGGGGAUAGCAGCAUCUCAAUGGAGGCACGGAGACCCCACAUUGCAGCAGCCCA